rnacentral:lncRNA from 1 species
AAGCAAGUUGUUUUUGAAUUACAUGCACAAGCCCAUGGGAGCAAGGAUUGUGGGGAGAUUGAUACUCCCGCACUCACAGGGCAGGCCUUAGAGAUCUAUUGGAGAUUUUGUCACUUCCUUAGUCUGUAAUUCUUUUCUGCCUUGCUAUUAGUACAUACUCUAGAUUGUCUUGAAAUGUUAAUUUACAGACUUAACGACAUCGUAUAAAAGUUCUGUCAGUUUUACUACACUUGUCGAUCUAUUAAUAGAUGAAGUGCCUGUGUGGAACACACUGGGUGCGAGGCAGCCUAAGCAUGUGACUGAGUGACCCCGUUCUUAGAGCAUUUCCAAUAAAAGGGCAGCCUGGUGCUUGUAGCUCCUGCUUGUGCAUGGGGAAGGGUCCGACCACUUUCGGUCUUUUGUCUACACUUGAAAGUUACAACUUGCGGGCAACCUAUUUUUCAAAAAAGGGAGGGAAGUUAUGUAUGUGGGACAACCAAUCAAACAUGGUGUGUUGUCCCUUAUCAGAGCCCUAGUUGAUCAAGUAACUUUUGCUAGGAAAGAGUCCAGUGAGUUUAAAGAUCGUAUUAGAGUUUGAAUGAAUCACCGGCUUGUGAUCAAGUAUUGUCCACAAUAAAGAGGCCGACCCCUUCUAGAGAAACAUAGAAGAAUAUUAUUGUUUACUUCUAUCCUUUUUCCAGUAAAAUGGGUUUAUGUCCAUAGCAUAUUCUUCCAUCAACAUGAGAGCUUCUAAAGGCCUUGUACAAUGCAGGGAGAAAUAAAUUAGUCUUCCUUUAUACAUUGCUUGACUUGCCAUGAACCAUGGUACCGAGAGAGGUAUCAUUCAUCUUAAUUUUACAUUUUACAUGCUAAUAUUACUAUUGUGCCAUGGUACCGAGAGAGGUAUCAUUCAUCUUACUUUUACUUGCCAUGAACCAUGUUUGUAACAUCCCAAAUUUUGGAAUGUUAAUAUAAUUAUUAUAUUGUUUGUUUGUUUGCUUGAGUGAUUGAAACUUGAGUGAAAUUUGAAACUUUUCAAAAACUUUUGAAUGAGAGGGAAUAAAAUGACUUUCCCCGAUGAAUUCAAAUUCAAUCUUUUAAAAGCAAAGAGAGAAGAUGACAUGAGUUCUUCAACUAUAAAGAAUUUGAACGGAGUUUGCAUUUGAAUCCCUUCAAAUUAUUUGCCUUUGCUUCUAUAUUUUUCUUCCCCAAGAAAAUGCCCCGACAAAAUUCUUGCACGCAAGAAAGAGCGGAGGAAAAUGACCCUCCAAAAUGUGAGGCAUUUCUGAAAUAUUUUGAGUCAAGAAGACCCAAGUUUAUGGGGAAAAUAUUUUGCCAAAAGAAAAUAUAGCAUAAGGGGUUUUUUCUAAAAAAAAACAUUUUUAAAAAGUUUUUAUUUUGGUUUUGGAAAAAUGAUAAUCAAUUAGGAAAUAUUUUUUUGAUCGAUUUGGUAUAUAAUACUCCAUAUAAAUUAUUUCAUUUUAUUUUUUCUCUUGCUGUUUUAAAAAAAAACAAAAAAAAAA